rnacentral:rRNA from 1 species
AUGGCGGACCGGCUGGCGGUUGGGUUGGCGAAGUCGGUGGUGGUAGGGGCGGCCACCAAGAUCCAGUCGGCCAUCGACGAGGACGCCAGGCUCCGGCAAAAGGUGAAGCGUGACCUUGUGUUCAUCUAUAUGGAGUUCGAGAUGAUGCAGUCCUUCCUGGACGAUGCCAAUGAGGAGGAGAUGAACAAUAAUUUGGUGAGGACAUGGGUGAAGCAUAUAAAGGAACUGGCCUAUGAUGUCGAAGACUGCGUUGAAAAUGUUGUUCAUCUGGACGACAAGCCAAUCUUCUGGCGCAGGCUGCUCCCGUCCUGGUUGGCACCCCCUCUGCCACUGGACUUGGCGGUUGAGGAGAUAGAGCAUCUCAAGGGCAGGGUCGAGGACGUCAACAACUGCUACCGGCGCUACAACUAAAUCAACGACUCUGCAUCCAAGCUCGUCAUGCAGCAGCAGCUGGCACCCGCCAUCGCCGUCUCCCGGAUCGCAUUUCAGAUGCUCGAGGAGGCAAGGGGUGCCACCAAGAAGCAGCGAGCCUUUGGGGGUCUCACCCGGCUGAUCAUCAGGAAGAAUCAUGGGAACAAUGGCCUCCAAGUGAUCUCGGUUUGGGGUGCCGCCUAAGACCCAACUGAAGAGUGUCACCGUCUUCUGAAAAAGGGUUGGUGUCUCAUUAUUAUCGAUGAUCUCAAGUCCACGAAGGAUUGGGACAUGAUAGAGGCUGCUUUGGUAUCCAAAUAUUUAAAUAGUGUUGUCAUUGUCAUCACAACUGAUCAAACCAUCGCAAAAUAUUGCACAAAUAAAGAAGAGCUUGUGUUAAAUGUCAAGGCUCUAGAAGCUAAUGCCGCCUUUGAUCUCUUCAAAAAACUAGUAUGA